rnacentral:rRNA from 1 species
UACGUAGGGCGCAAGCGUUAUCCGGAAUUAUUGGGCGUAAAGAGCUCGUAGGCGGUUUGUCGCGUCUGCCGUGAAAGUCCGGGGCUCAACUCCGGAUCUGCGGUGGGUACGGGCAGACUAGAGUGAUGUAGGGGAGACUGGAAUUCCUGGUGUAGCGGUGAAAUGCGCAGAUAUCAGGAGGAACACCGAUGGCGAAGGCAGGUCUCUGGGCAUUUACUGACGCUGAGGAGCGAGAGCAUGGGGAGCGAACAGG